rnacentral:rRNA from 1 species
UACGUAGGACCCAAGCGUUAUCCGGAGUGACUGGGCGUAAAGAGUUGCGUAGGCGGUUCGUAAAGCGAAUAGUGAAAGAUGAUGGCUCAACCAUCAGAACAUUGUUCGAACUCACGAACUCGAGAAUGGUAGAGGUAGCUGGAAUUUCCUGUGUAGGAGUGAAAUCCGUAGAUAUAGGAAGGAACACCAAUGGCGUAGGCAGGCUACUGGACCAUUUCUGACGCUGAGGCACGAAAGCGUGGGGAGCGAACCGG